GCCCCGGUAGCUUAGCGGUAGAGCGGGAGACAAUGUCUCCAGGCCACUGGUUUGAGCCCAGCCGGGGGCA